GACGAACGCUGGCGGCGUGCUUAACACAUGCAAGUCGAACGGAAAGGCCCUGCUUUUGUGGGGUGCUCGAGUGGCGAACGGGUGAGUAACACGUGAGUAACCUGCCCUUGACUUUGGGAUAACAUCAGGAAACUGGGGCUAAUACCGGAUAGGAGCUCCUGCUGCAUGGUGGGGGUUGGAAAGUUUCGGCGGUUGGGGAUGGACUCGCGGCUUAUCAGCUUGUUGGUGGGGUAGUGGAUUACCAAGGCUUUGACGGGUAGCCGGACUGAGAGGGUGACCGGCCCCAUUGGGACUGAGGUGCGGCCCAGACGCAUACGGGAGGCAGCAGUGGGGAAUAGUGCAAAAUGGGCGGAAGCAUGAUGCAGCAACGCCGCGUGCGAGAUGACGGCUUUCGGGUUGUAAACCGCCUUCGCCUGUGACGAAGCGUGAGUGACGGUAAUGGGUAAAGAAGCACCGGCUAACUACGUG
rnacentral:rRNA from 1 species